GUCGAACGAUGAAGCCUAGCUUGCUAGGUGGAUUAGUGGCGCACGGGUGAGUAAUAUAUAGAUAAUGUACCUCUUAGUCUGGGAUAGCCAUUGGAAACGAUGAUUAAUACUAGAUAUUCCUUCUGAUAGUAAUAUUAGUUGGGAAAGUUUUUUCGCUAAGAGAUCAGUCUAUAUCCCAUCAGCUUGUUGGUAGUGUAAGAGACUACCAAGGCAAUGACGGGUAGCGGGUUUGAGAGGGUGAUCCGCCACACUGGUACUGAGACACGGACCAGACUCCUACGGGAGGCAGCAGUGAGGAAUAUUGCACAAUGGAGGAAACUCUGAUGCAGCAACGCCGCGUGGAGGAUGACGCAUUUCGGUGUGUAAACUCCUUUUAUAUGUCAAGAAAAUGACGGUAGCAUAUGAAUAAGCACCGGCUAACUCCGUGCCAGCAGCCGCGGUAAUACGGAGGGUGCAAGCGUUAUUCGGAAUCACUGGGCGUAAAGGACGCGUAGGCGGGAAGUCAAGUCUGAUGUGAAAUCCUAUGGCUCAACCAUAGAACUGCAUUAGAAACUGGCUACCUAGAGUAUGGGAGGGGGAGAUGGAAUUAGU
rnacentral:rRNA from 1 species